rnacentral:misc_RNA from 1 species
AAGUCGUAACAAGGUUUCCGUAGGUGAACCUGCGGAAGGAUCAUUAGUGAAUUGCUCUCUGAGCUUUAAACUACAUCCAUCUACACCUGUGAACUGUUGAUUGACAUUCGUCAAUUACUUUUACAAACAUUGUGUAAUGAACGUUAUGUUAUUAUAAUAAAAAAUAACUUUCAACAACGGAUCUCUUGGCUCUC